rnacentral:rRNA from 1 species
UCCUACGGGACGCAGCAGUGAGGAAUAUUGGUCAAUGGGAGAGAUCCUGAACCAGCCAAGCCGCGUGAGGGAAGACGGCCCUAUGGGUUGUAAACCUCUUUUGUCGGAGAACAAAACCCGGGACGUGUCCCGGACUGCGUGUAUCCGAAGAAAGAGCAUCGGCUAACUCCGUGCCAGCAGCCGCGGUAAUACGUAGGUGGCGAGCGUUAUCCGGAAUGAUUGGGCGUAAAGGGUGCGCAGGCGGUCCUGCAAGUCUGGAGUGAAACGCAUGAGCUCAACUCAUGCAUGGCUUUGGAAACUGGAGG